UACGUAGGUGGCAAGCGUUAUCCGGAAUUACUGGGUGUAAAGGGCGCGCAGGCGGCCCUGCAAGUCGGAUGUGAAAGAUCAAGGCUCAACCUUGACAGGCCAUUCGAAACUGUGGGACUUCAGUGUCAGAGGGGAAAGUGGAAUUCCUAGUGGAGCGGUAAAAUGCGCAGAUAUUAGGAGGAACACCGGUGGCGAAGGCGACUUUCUGGCUGACAACUGACGCUGAGGCGCGAAAGCGUGGGGAGCAAACAGGAUUAGAUACCCGUGUA
rnacentral:rRNA from 1 species